CUCCUUGUAGCUCAGUGGAUAGAGCAUCCGCCUUCUAAGCGGAGAGUCGUUGGUUCGAGCCCAACCAGGGAGG
rnacentral:tRNA from 1 species